AUGCUGUUGCUAAAAGUGAAUGUUUUUAUUUGCAGAUGUGAUUACUACAGAACAGGCUGGAAGGAGUACUGGUACACGGGCCCCAAAUGUAACCACCUUUGGAACACUCUCGAUUUCAUUUUAGUGGCUACUCUUCCUGCAGUGGCACUGGUUGUCAUAGUGGUUGUAAUAUUUUCUGCUGUCUACUGCUUGAAAAUUCAAAAAGCUGGGAAGCAGCCGAAGCCUCCAUACAGCGGAGCACAGCAGAACCCUGCAUUCAGCAGUGACACAGCUGCCAGCCCGGGGCACGGGCACUGCCAGCCAGCUGGGGAUGCCUGGCUUGGACAAAUUCCAAAAGCUGUACUGAAAAGAGAAGAUUUUAAUGAUGCCUCAAUCCCAAAUCAAAGGCAGAAUUACAGUCCCAUGUAUGCUCAGCCUCUAAGGGCAGCAGAUCCAGCAUCAGAUUAUUUCCCUCAGUCCCGAGCCCAGGGGGAUGAGUUUGACUAUCCCAGGGAGGGUUUGCCUUACCCAGUUUAUCCAGAGGCGAGACAGUACCAGAGAUACUAA
rnacentral:lncRNA from 1 species